rnacentral:rRNA from 1 species
ACGAACGCUGGCGGCGUGCUUAAUACAUGCAAGUCAACUUGACUUUAGAUAGCAAUAUCGAAAGUAGGGUGGCGCACGGGUGCGUAACGCGUAGGUAAUCUGCCCUGAGGUCUGACAUAACCCGUCGAAAGGCGGGCUAACAUCAGAUGAUAUAUAAUCACGACAUCGUGGAAAUAUCAAAUCUUCGGAGCCUUGGGAUGAGCCUGCGUCUGAUUAGGUAGUUGGCGGAGUAAUAGCCCACCAAGCCUACGAUCAGUAGCUGGUCUGAGAGGAUGAUCAGCCACACUGGAACUGAGACACGGUCCAGACUCCUACGGGAGGCAGCGGUAAGGAAUAUUGCUCAAUGGGGGAAACCCUGAAGCAGCAACGCCGCGUGAAGGAUGAAAUACUUUUGUAUGUAAACUUCUGUAAGAUGGGAAAAAUAUUCUCCUCGGGAGAAUUGAUUGUACCAUCAGAGUAAGCCCCGGCUAACUACGUG